UACGAAGGGUGCAAGCGUUAUCCGGAUUCAUUGGGUUUAAAGGGAGCGUAGGCGGACUUGUAAGUCAGUGGUGAAAUCUGUGGGCUUAACCCACAAACUGCCAUUGAUACUGCAGGUCUAGAGUACAGUUGCCGUUGGCGGAAUAUGACAUGUAGUGGUGAAAUACUUAGAUGUGUCAUAGAACACCGAUUGCGAAGGCAGCUAACGAAGCUGUAACUGACGCUGAGGCUCGAAAGUGCGGGGAUCAAACAGG
rnacentral:rRNA from 1 species